ensembl:lncRNA
CCUCUGUAAGCCUGAUCACUGUAGUUCCUCCUUCCUCUGUAAGCCUGAUCACUGUAGCCCAUUAUUUUGCCUUCAUGUUUGUAUCCCUCAAUGAUUUUAAGCACAUUCUGGGCUACUCCUUUGCUGGACUGAAGUUUCUCACAGCUUCUUUCUUUUCAAUACCGAGUCAACUGUGAAAUGACCUAUUGAGAGGCCUUCUCGACAAAGAAAGAUGUAAUCCACUUAAGAGUUUGGGAUCAUGCCUGCCACUCUGAAACAAUAUCUGAGAUGGAUAAGUGAACAUAUUUUGAAUGACACAAAUGGUUCCCAUCUACGGAAAGCAAUGACAGGAAAAAUGUGGAUGGAAUCACACUACAGGAAAGAACAAAGGCAAAAGAAAGACCCGGAAGAUGAGCCAGUUGAUCCUGAGGCUAAAUGAGGUGUUUUUGCUCAAAAGUAGUUUUAGCAGUGGUUGCGAAAGAAACAUGCUGACAGCUGAGGGAAGACUUCUGGGUAUAGUUUAAAUGCUAAUUGGCUCCUGGUCCCUGGUGGUACAAAGUUCAGUGUGAUUUAGAUUAACUGUGGCUGGGGGAAGGCAUUAUGCCUAGUUUUAGCAGUGACUGGUUACAAUUUACAGGCCUGGGAACAGGAAGAAAUGCUUAAAGCUUGACUAGUUUUGUUUGACAUACUGCUUUCUCUUCAAGGAAAGACAAGUAUGAUUUUAUUUUAUCAAGAGAAAACUGAGACACUAGAAGGUUCUGGAAUUUACCCCAAAUCGUGGAGAUGAUCGUGUAGCCGAGUUGAUUGACAUUUUCUGACUCUAAUACCGUGGUACCUAGAUCCAGGUGGGGAUUUAUGAAUAGUUAUGUCUCAGUUAUUAUAAAUUAUACAUUUCAUUUGUAUUGAUUGAUCCUAGAGCAGAUCAACAUUUUUGUUUAUUGAUUUAAAUAAGCAUUUAUUGAUUGUUGAGUACCAGCUCAGAGAUUUUGACUUAGUUGAUGUAUGGUGUGGCUUGUUAUUGGGGAUUUUUUUUUAAAAAAAGUAUUUAUUUCUGGUGUGCAAUAAGAUGAUAACUCCUGUGCUAGAAAACUCUCUGUCUCUUGCCCACUUUUAGGGCACUUUUGAGAACAUGAAGCCAUAAAGAAAUCAACUCAUUAAUCUGUUAGCAUAACAGCAGGCCAGGGAGUAACCUGGCAAACUAAUACUUACAAAUGGGAAACAAAUUUUACACUCUGUUAAGUUUGGAGACUAGCUUUAUCUUUCACACAUCCAGAGACCAUCCCAAGUCUGUCACAACUAAGGAGUAAAUGCUGGCUAAUUUCUAACGUCAACAGUUGGACUUUUUGCUUUUGUUUUUAGAGAUAGAGUUUCUUUGUGUAACAGCUGGCUCUGGAGACCAGGCUGGCCUCGAACUCACAGAGAUCCACUCACCUCUGCCUUCUGAGUGCUGGCUGGGAUUAAAGGUGUGUGCCACCAUUGCCUGGCUUCAGCUGGACUUUUAUUGGUUCUUGAAUGCCGUGGCAGUUGGUAUGCAAGUCUGAUAGAAUAGUUCUUCAAUUUCUGCAGAUGUGUUUGUUCUUCAGUUCUAACAUCUGUAAAAUUGAGGAUGACAGAACCAGCCUUCUAGGCCUAGGACUAGAUUCUGUAAGUUUGUGUACAGAAUCUAGAACCCUCCUUGACACAAAAAGUGGUUCUUAUACUCCAGGUAGUAUAGUCUCCUAGCUUUGUCUACCUUAUUGGACUUAGAAGCUUAACUAAAGCAUUUAGGAGCUGAGAUAUUUGGUAAAUCAUGAGCAACAGCACUUCAGAGGCUAAGGCAAGAGGAUCAUAAGUUCUAGGCCAUCCUAGGCUGUGUACUGAGACAUUGUUUCAAAGCACAAAACCCAAAUCCAAAGCAAAACAAAAACUAAACAAACAAGCACACACCGUAAAUGGAUACUGUGCAAAUAAUAGCAAAAUCAGUGCCCCAAUUUAACAUAAAUGCAAAUUUGUCUUCAUUCCAGGAGAGGUAUAAAGUAUUUUUGUUUAACUGAAAUGACAUUAGCCAGAGGUUAGUUCAGUUCAUCCUAACAUACUCAAUACAAAUUCUACUUGAAGUUUAUAUUUUAAAAUACAAAUAAUGCUAGAUAAGCAUUUCAUUAUUCGAGGUUAGAAUUCGUUGUGUAAUUGAGUUGCAUAGACAUAAAUCGAGAAGCCAAGAGUGUUUGUAUUAACUUUCAUCUUGUUCUUUCUUCACGGGAUUUUGUCCCUUUCCUGUGAUCUCUGUUCCUAGGUGUCACGUGAUGGUAGUCCCUCUGCUUUGGGUGCAUUGUUAUUCUUUAAAGUGUUCCUUUAUCUUGGUAAAAUAUGCUUUGAGUGGUUGAGGAAAAUAGAAUUCCCGUCACUUAAAAGGAAGGGCAAAGAGAAAUCUAGAAAUGUUUCAUUUUCAAUGUAUAUGCUUUUAUUCCGAGACCUCAUGGCAGUAAAUAAAGAACAUUGGAAGAACAGCAAAAAAAAAAAAAGAAAAGAAAAGAAAAGAAAAAAGGCACCACAGCACCAUGUCUUGUCACGUUCUGCUUGCCCCUACACCUGAUUUCAAAUGUAAAUUGCACGGCAUUUAGCACUAAUGAAAAUACUCUAGUGAAGGAAAUUGUUAAGAUUUUCUGGUGCUCCCCUAGGGGUAAUAUUAAAACCCCUGUUACUAACAUCUCACUCCAAGAAGACAAAAAUGUGCACUGAGAAUACAAAAGCCCUGUUGGCAUCUAAAUGUGGGCCAAUUAAUUUGCUGUUAUCGACGUGUGGCUUUGCGAGGAGAUGUGAAAGUAGGGCCCAGGAAAGCUAUUGAGAUCUCUGUAUUGCAGGGCUCCUUGACCCUGGAAUUUUCAAUGCUUGCUUAAUCAUGACAUUCUGCUUUCUAUUUAUUUAUACAGUUGCUUCAAUGAACAAAUUAAUAAUUAUACAGCACAUUGACAAACAUGCCGGGUAAUAUUUGCCAGAUUUUAAAUUAAUUUAAUUCAAGGGCCACUUCAUUUGCAGGAUUCAUCCGCACAUCAGGCAUCAGCCUUACCUCGUUGCUAUUCAUGCUACACCAAGAUUUGUCAUCAUUUUCCCCUUCUUUUCUUCUUUGCAGACAAAGACAGCACAACUUGCCAUGCCAAAUAAAUAGACACUAACAAGCAGGUGGAAGACAGAUAGAUGACAGACAAAUAGGAAUAUAGAUAAAUGCACAGAUGACGUAAAUUUAGAAGGGAGGAUAAUAGCUGUCCCUAUGAUGUGUGGAAAACAAUUAGAAUCCACUAAGAUCUUGGAUUUAUUUUCUCUUUAGCUCCAAUUUGCAAUUUAUCUUCUCUUGUUUCAUAUCCACACGCCUUCUUCACAAUUUACAGACUGGAAAUUCAAACGAAAAGCUCAUAGUUUGAGAAAUGAUUACUUUUCUUGGAAACAAUGACAGAAAAAUCGUAUGAAAAUUUAGCUUCUCGGAUUUGGGAAGCCAGGCAAGAUUUCAGGUUGCUUUGCAUAUCAGUAAGGCUUGGGCCAAAGUUAAUGAGAUUGGAUUGUAUAAGAGGGGCCAGCUGAUUUUAGAGACAUUGCAAUCAACUCACCAACCAUAGUUGAAUUUGUAUUUAUUUUUAAGAAAGAAAAAAGUUUUAAUUGAAUUGUGAUGUAUUAUAAUAUAUGCAGUUACAGGUAAAGAUGAAACUUUGGCCCUUAAGAACUUAAGACUGCUACCAAGCAAACUAAUGAACCAGAACCUUUAUUACUGGUGCCAGCAUGGAAAGAUGAUUGACUGAGCUAGGGUUUAUACCUUUAAAACGAGGUCUGGACACCAGAUACAUUAUGUUAUAUUCAUGGACAAUAAUAAAAUGAAUCGAAUGGAGUAUUAAGUGGUUACCUUAAACAAGAGAGCCAUAAACUAGAUGCUAGGUAAUGACCUUGGAAGUUGUUUCUUAUACAGCUGGCAUUCUAGGAUUUGGGGCAUUAGUUGAUCCUUGUCGGGCCACAGCCUUUCUGAAUGCAUGGAAAUCAAUCAUCAGAAGUUCAUGUUGAGGGAGAGAUCUGAGAUAUUUCUAUAAAUAUUUCUCCCAUAUUGUUGUUUAUCCUGUAUGUGGAUCAAUACCUAUCUGAAGAUUUUGCAUGCUGUCACAUCAAGAGAUACUGACUUCUUCUCCUGGAUGUGUUUCUUCAUUACACUUAGUUUAGAUUUUCCAUGUUGGGAUGGGGGUGGGGAAGCCACAGCAUAGUGUUGCUAAAGGUAAAUCUUUUCUCUUGGGGGGAAUAAAUAACAAUUUAUACACUAUUUUGCCAAUGUGCAUAAUUGUUUGUCUGUCCAGGAUAAAUUAUUCCUAUAAUGCUGUACUUUCAUUUUCUAAGCAGAGAAAGCUAUUUAGGUGCAGUGCUAUAAGGUGGCUCUUUUUUUUGUAUAAAAAAUGGAGCCACCAUUUAGAGAAAAUCAGGCAAAGUCUAGCCUGAUAAUUUUAGUGCAAGCAGGCUUUUGCUUCAGUACCCGAGAUAAUUGUCUCAAUCUCCUUUUUACUCUGCAGGGUCACAGAUGUCAAAAGGCAUUCCCACAUGCAAGUGGAAAUUGUACAAUACAUAGCCCAGAAAUUAUGUGUCUUUUACUUAAAAAAAUCAGGUAGACCUAUAUGCCACAAUAAUUAUAAAAAUUAUACUAGCAUUUAUUUGGUUAUAUUAAUAUGCUAUUUGUAUUAACUAGUUUUACUAAUUACCUAAUUACUGCCCGCUAGGGUAAUUACUUAUCUUGAUUAAAUGAAUGUUGAAAGGUGAACUCACAGGCAUGAAUUUGGUAAUCAUAUUCCUAUCUAGAAUAAUAAUGCUGAGGGCAGAUGCUCAAUCCAUUUAGUAGUCUCAUUGAUUGUGGAGCUAGAAGGAGUUUUUAAGGUGUAGUUCAUAAAACAAGUGUAACUAAAUAGAAGAUUGAAGAAAAUAGGUGUACAUUAGAAGCACUUACUGGUGUUUCCUUUGAUAAGAGUGGAACAUUAAAAUGAGUGAUUUGAAAGUCACUUUAAAAAUGCAUAGUGAAAAAGCAAAGACACUGGCACCAGAUGGACUUGAGAUUGAAUCUUAGCUUUAUAUGGCUUUGGAAGGCAACUUUGUCUCUGGUAGUCUUAUUUUCCUAUUCUGUCCAAUUAGGAUAUUGUAUUCAAUAUCAGCUUCUAGUGCUGUAGAAAUGAGUUAGUCAAAUAAUGACUAUAAAGUGUCUAGAACCAAUGAAGCAUCUUUAAAAUCUACACAUACUUCUCUAAGAUUCAGGAUUUAUAAGCUUGACAUACUAUUUAAUUAUCAACAGUAACUCAACUUUCGAGAUGGAAGUUAUUAGAAUCACUAACAGUUCGAAGAAGAGAGUAGUCCCGUAGCAAGUGUGUCACCACAGUUAAACUCCAGUGUCAUCAGUCAUAUGAUGUCCUGGUUAUAUGACAUAGGUAUACAUUUCAACAUAGAUGCCACCCAUAUGAAUAUAUGCAUCCCGAAGGCAGAGACUUGGACCCUUUUGUCUAAUACUGUUUUCAGGAUUUAUAAUAAACAAAGUGUAGUCUGCUUAAGAAGUAUUGUUGAAAAAUUAUGGAAUUAAUGACUGGUUAUCUAGGUGUUUGUAUAAUAAAUGUGUUUUACCUUUUGUGUUCCCCAUGGUUCUGAGUUCUGAAGGUCAUUUUGUACAUUGGUGUUCCAAAUCUAUAAGAUGGAUGGGCAGUGGUGGUGCAUGCCUUUAAUCCCAGCACUCGGGAGGCAGGGACAGGUGGAUCGCUGUGAGUUUGAGGCCAGCCUGGUCUCCAGAAUGAGUGCCAGGACAGGCUCCAAAGCUACACAGAGAAACCCUGUCUCGAACAACAAAACAAAACAAAACAAACAAAAAGAAAACCAAACCUGUAAGAUGUUAUCAGUGUGGGCAGCUUUUGCAUGUGAUAGCAGCUGCUGUGGUCUGCUAUGGAUUAUACUGCCCAACUAUUACCACAUAGUAUCCAAAGUGAUAAGAAACAAUAUCUUGCCUCCCUCCUCAGGUACAUGGUUUAUUUCAUAUUGAAGUUUCCUCUGUUCCAAGAGUGCUUCUGGUGGGUUAUCAUAACUGAUGUUGAACUAGGCCAGCAAUGGGGACACACUUAUUCUAUAAAAGCAUGAGUCAUUCUUAGUUGUUGUAAGUGCAAUCUCCUCUCAUAUUAAAAAGCUAGCUGUGGUGAUUCAGAGAGAGAAAAGUUCAACAACAAAUUCAUUCCCUACAGGAGUCCAUGGUCAAGAAAACUGGCCACCUAAAUGACUUCACCUAAAUGUAAUAAAUACCCAUGAGUAGGAUGUUCAGGUGCAAAAGUGGACUUGCACAGUACUUCUUGAGUUCAUUUGUUUGGAGGCAUGCCAGAUAGCUGCUACCCUUGAAUAUCUUGUAACAUGUGUAGUAGAGGGAAGGGCUAAUCUAGCAAGUAUCCUUGAGAGACUCUGCACAGUUUAAAACUCUCCCUCCCUGUUAGUUUUCCCAAGGAUAUACCAGAAGUGUUAUGUUAGUCUUAGUGCUGUUAAUAAGAUUCAGGGUGAUCUGAAUGAGCACCACGAACACCACCAUCAACAAGGUUAACUGUCUUUCUGUCUGUCUGUCUGUCUGUUGCCUGCCUGCCUGUCUUUCCAUCCGUUUGUCCGUCCAUCCAUCCAUCCAUCCAUCCAUCCAUCCAUCCAUCCAUCCAUCACUGUUCCUUCUUCCAGGCCACUCUUACUUAAAAAGAAUUGUCAG